GGGCCCGUAGCUCAGCGGUCAGAGCAGGCGACUCAUAAUCGCUCGGUCGUGGGUUCGACCCCCACCGGGCCCACUA
rnacentral:tRNA from 1 species